rnacentral:rRNA from 1 species
GACGAACGCUGGCGGCGUGCUUAACACAUGCAAGUCGAACGAAGAGCGAUGGAAGCUUGCUUCUAUCAAUCUUAGUGGCGAACGGGUGAGUAACGCGUAAUCAACCUGCCCUUCAGAGGGGGACAACAGUUGGAAACGACUGCUAAUACCGCAUACGAUCUAACCUCGGCAUCGAGGAUAGAUGAAAGGUGGCCUCUACAUGUAAGCUAUCACUGAAGGAGGGGAUUGCGUCUGAUUAGCUAGUUGGAGGGGUAACGGCCCACCAAGGCGAUGAUCAGUAGCCGGUCUGAGAGGAUGAACGGCCACAUUGGGACUGAGACACGGCCCAGACUCCCACGGGAGGCAGCAGUGGGGAAUCUUCCGCAAUGGACGAAAGUCUGACGGAGCAACGCCGCGUGAGUGAUGACGGCCUUCGGGUUGUAAAGCUCUGUUAAUCGGGACGAAAAGCCUUCUUGCGAAUAGUGAGAAGGAUUGA